rnacentral:snRNA from 1 species
AUUGCUUCUCAGCCUUCUGGCUAAGAUCAAGUCUGGUAUCUGUUCUUAUCAGUUACUCCUUGGGCUGUGCACCUGUCAGUUCUCUCUCUUGGAGGUUUGCAUUGUUUAGGGAUGCCAUGAUCCAAAACUCCCCAUGAUUUACUCCUGUGGGGCAAAGCUAA